AAUAUCAUACAACUUUUUAAUGAGCUAACUAGUUUAUUCCUAGUCAUUCACUGUAGAGAGAGAGAGAUCUCUCCAAUCUGUCGCUUCACUCCUUUUUUUUUUUUUUUUUAUUUUUUGACAGGCAGAGUGGACAGUGAGAGAGAGAGACAGAGAGAAAGGUCUUCCUUUGCUGGUGGUUCACCCUCCAAUGGCCGCCGCGGCCGGUGCGCUGCUGCUGGCACACCGCGCAUAUCUGAUGGCAGGAGCCAGGUGCUUCUCCUGGUCUCCCAUGGGGUGCAGGGCCCAAGCACCUGGGCCAUCCUCCACUGCACUCCCUGGCCACAGCAGAGAGCUGGCCUGGAAGAGGGGCAACCGGGACAGAAUCCGGUGCCCCGACCGGGACUAGAACCUGGUGUACUGGCGCCACAGGCUGAGGAUUAGCCUAUUGAACCAUGGGGCUCCGGCCUGCCUUUCUUAUUUUAAAAGAAAUUUUCUUCCUACACAAAGCACAAUAAGCAAAGAAAUGAGCAGCAACUUUAUGUAGGGCCUGAUAUUUACAUAUAAAGAGGGAAAUGGGUGGAUCACCAAGGCUUCCACAAGGGGGAUGCUCUCUGUUCUGAUUCAGUGUCUCCAUACCUCACUCUCUGAUCUGCUGUAACACUUACCAUUCCUAACUGGGGUUUCUGCUGAGGUCAAUGUUUCAAAAACAGUGGUUACGGCUGCGCUGCGGCUCACUAGGCUAAUCCUCGGCCUGUGGCGCCAGCACACGGGGUUCUAGUCCCGGUCGGGGCACCGGAUUCUGUCCCGGUUGUCCCUCUUCCAGGCCAGCUCUCUGCUGUGGCCAGGGAGUGCAGUGGAGGAUGGCCCAAGUGCUUGGGCCCUGCACCCGCAUGGGAGACCAGGAUUAGCACCUGGCUCCUGCCUUCGGAUCAGCGCGGUGCGCCGGCCACAGCGGCCAUUGGAGGGUGAACCAACAGCAAAAAGGAAGACCUUUCUCUCUGUCUCUCUCUCUCACUGUCCACUCUGCCUGUCAAAAAACCAAACAAACAAACAAAAACAGUGGUUACUAAAAGUGUUUGUUCUCUUUGCAUAUAUUAUCCUCUUAUCUCUAACUAGCCAGCAAGCUCUGGGCAGAUUUUGCUGAUAGAGUUUUCUAGAAAAAGUGAAGGCCAGGAGUCCAGCAGGUUAAGCCUCAGGCUGGGAAGCCUGCAUCCCAUAUGACUGCCUGGAAUUGAGUUCUGCCUCCAGUUUGGAUCCAGCUUCCUGCUAAUAAGUCUCAGGGGCAGCAGACAAUGGCGCAGCUGUUAGGUUCCUGCCACCUCCCGGGGAGACCUGGAUGCAGUUCCUGGCUCCUAGCUUUGGCCUGGCCCAAUUACAAUCAUUUGGGGAGUGAACCAGCAGAUGAAAUCUCUCUCUCUCAACCUUUCAAAUAAAUAAAUUUUAGAAAGUUAAUCA
rnacentral:lncRNA from 1 species